GGAGAAUUAGUUAAAAGAAUAACGUAUGCUUGUCGAGCUUGAAUUACUGAAAGUGUUAUGCAGUAUUUUCCU
rnacentral:tRNA from 1 species